rnacentral:rRNA from 1 species
CCUACGGGAGGCAGCAGUAGGGAAUAUUGCUCAAUGGGGGACACCCUGAAGCAGCAACGCCGCGUGGAGGAUGAAGGUUUUCGGGUUGUAAACUCCUUUUGUUAGAGAAGAUAAUGACGGUAUCUAACGAAUAAGCACCGGCUAACUCCGUGCCAGCAGCCGCGGUAAUACGGAGGGUGCAAGCGUUACGCGGAAUCACUGUGCGUAAAGAGCGCGUAGGCGGGAUAGCAAGUCAGAUGUGAAAUCCUAUGGCUUAACCAUAGAACUGCAUUUGAAACUGUUAUUCUAGAGUAUGUGAGAGGUAGGUGGAAUGCUUGGUGUAGGGGUAAAAUCCGUAGAGAUCAAGAGGAAUACUCAUGGCGAAGGCGACCGGCUAGAACAUAACUGACGCUGAUGCGCGAAAGCGUGGGGAGCAAACAGGAUUAGAUACCCGGGUAGUC